UGUGUGUGUGUGUGUGUGUGUGUGUUUGAAGGGGAAGUUCUCCAGGCUGAGGAAGCAAAGUCAUGCCUCCAGAACCCUCUGUAAAAAAACAAUAACUCUGAAACCGUGCAGUUCUUGUUCUUAUGGCUUACUGUGAACAGGACCCUGAGUGGAGCACACCAGAGCGGGUGUAGGCGAUGGGGUCUCCUCUGUUAGUUUGACCUCUGUGUGGGAGUGUGUGUGUGGUGCCACUGAGGUUUGACUGUCCUCUAUGUGUGUGUCCACGCUGUGUUUGUCAGUCAGCAGGUGAGGGGGGAUGUACCCAGACUGGGAGUUUGUUUGCUUCCUGUGAUGGUGGUGCUCGUUUGGGGAUUUCGGCGGGCAGCGGCCCCUCUUGUCCUGCCCCCGGAAGCCCCUCAGUUUGGGGCUCCAGUGUUCCCGCCACUGGAGGGCCAGGGUGGAGCGGUCCGCCACCAGGCGACUCUCCUCUGGGCCCCAGCCCCGCUCCCCCUCCUCCGCACCGAUCAGCAGGAAGGUCCGGCCCACGUGGAGGGCGGGGCAGCCGCACCCAAGGUCGCGGUCGGGGACCCAGAGGGACUGCUGGCCCUUGCGGAUGCGGGAUUUGGACCCUGCCCGGAAGACGGUUUGGACUGAGAUGGAGAACUGCCACCAGGGACCUGAACGCUCCAUCCCUCGCACCUGCACCUUCAGCACUGAGAAAGACAGAAAGGCAAUUUAUUUAUAAUCUUUUUUUUUUUUUAAGAUAUUUUUUUGGGGGCUUUUUGCCUUUAAUCGGAUAGGACAGUGGAGAGUGACAGGAAGGUGGGAGAGAGAGUCGGGGUGGGAUCCGGAAAGGACCACGGGUUGGGAAUCGAACCUGGGUCGCCAUCGUACGGUGCAUGUGCCCCAGCCAGUUGCGCCGCGGCCAUAAUCUUUUGUUUUGAGUCUUUUUCCUUUAUCUUUAUUGUCGUUUUUAGUGGCCAAAAUUUGGUUUCACUCGACGAGUUCACAAACAAAAAACAAUGACACCUACCGAAGUCCUUCAGACAAUAGGUCUCCAAGUUCAUCCUGACUUUGACCUGAGAAGGCUGACAGUACGAAACGCACUCCUCCGCUAUAACAGAGAAGGGGAGAGAGGGAGAAUGCAUCAAAUGAGAGGGUAUCAUUUCAUAGCAAGCAUAUCAGCACAUGUCUUUUCUCCCUAAUUACAAUAUGGCUGCUUCUAUUUGUCAUCACAGUAUCCUGUGACUAACAGAUGACCUCCACUGCAGCAGAUGGGACAUUCCUCAAGCCGCCGCUAGGAGGGAGUGGUAAGCUACGGCAUAAAGAGUUAGAGCGGGAGAAUUUUGUUUUGAUGUAUGAAAAAUGUGUAUGCUGCACAUGAGGCUCCAACAACUGGGUUAUAAAGAAAGUUUGGAGAUUGAGUAAAUCUGGUAUUAUGACAGUGGAAGGGGACACAUUUGUUUGAGUAGUUUUUCAAAGGUGAUUCACAAAACAUUCAAAUAGAUAAAUAGCAAAUAAAGCAUGGACGCACAAUUAUCCAAAGCAGGACUACGUUAAUAUGGACAGUCAGAAUAAAAUACCAAAUACAACAAGAGGACUAUGGUAUUUCAGCCUGUGCUCACCUAUGCUGUACUGAGGUUGAAACACCGGUGUCGGAGCGACCUCUUGAAUUCCUGCAAACAUAAACAAAGUUUCAGACAGGUGACAGGAAAAGAUACACAGAGGAGCUUCAGCAUUCCCACAUGAGCUGUCAGGUUGCUGCAGAGCGAGUGUGUGUUAUGUGUGCUAUGCUUGAAUGCCUCUCGGUGAGUGGGGCAUGUCCGCACAGAAGAUAAGCAAGUGUCAAAAAUGUGAGUGUGUGGUCCUUUUACGGCCUAGGAAAACACACUUAAACACAGCCUCAAACUUGACUUUAUGUAUUUUAAUAAGGUCAAGCCAUCACUUUUUGCAUGGUUUUGUCUCAAACAUUAAACAGAGUGUUGCUCGGACCGUGCGUCUGACACUGAACUCAUCCGCACGUAUAUUAUCCAGGCCUCUUGUAAAAGUGUGUGUAUGUGACAGUGCUGCCAUAUUUUACUAAGCUCACACUCCGUUCCCCCGUCCACGUCCUGUCCUCUCUGACACAACCAGGACAGUGACACCCUACACCCCCACUUUUAAAAGACAGGAAGCUGCUGUGUGGUUGUAUGUCUAAGCACAUAGGCCUACAGUAUGUGAGGGGUCAUAAUUAGGUAAAUGCAGUGUGUGAGCAGCGCUGGGUGAAGAGUGAGAUGUUUGAGAUCUUUACAAUACUAAUCUUUGCCUUAAAAAUACAGCAUAAAAAUUGAAAAAUGAUUAUACAUCUAAGAAAUAUCUGAUACAAAUAAGUAUACAAGACAACAAAUGUGUGUACUUGUCCUUCUAUGUCUUUUUAAACUAAAACGUUUUAUGAUAUAUAAUUUCACGUCUAUUUCAGCUUGCUUGAAAUUGUAAGCUAACAUUAGCUAGCUAACGUUAUAUUAAGUAUGUCCCAGUGCUUUCCUUCCCUUAUUGAUAUAAAUGAAGCCCCAUUCAUUUUGUAUGUAACAUUAUUAGCUGAAUUAUCACAAUGUCAAUUCAAAGGAAUUUAUAUUUUAGUUUUUCAGUUAACAGUAGUUUAAAAAACACAUUUAGUUGUAGCUUCAGCUCAAGCUAGCUAAUGGCUAUCUCACCAGCUGGCAUAUUUACAUUAAUUCCCUCUCCUUAGCUUGCUAGUUGCUUUUCUUGAUCAUAUAUAUAAUAUUCUGUAAGCUUCCUAAGAGGUUCUGUCUUGAUCUUUGUUUUUGUGUUGAAUGUUUCCUGUUUUAUUCUGAAAUGUAUUUUCGUCUCUUGUUUUACUUCCUGUCUUUUUCCCUCCUUUGUAAUUGGUAGCCCCGCCCUGAUUCUUUCCACCUGUGUGAGAUCUCCUUGCUCCCUUUGUGUGUUUACCUGGCCUCUGUUGUUUAUUUCAGAAGUCCUGUCUCUUUAUUUACCUCUCCGUCCAAGUUUUCUUUGUCAUUUCAUCCUAGUUCUACCUGUGAACCUCCCCCCUCACCUGGUGCUUCUUGUCAAGUGCCCUCUUGUGGUUGGAUUCUGAAUUGCUGCGCAGUUGUCUUUAAUCCUGCUGCAGCCCUCAUCACCUCCACCUGAGAUAGAACACACAUGUAUUAAACAAACAUGUGAAAGCAGCGCUGACAGCUGUCUGCGGUGCUGCUGGAAGAGGAAAGGUUCAAGUUGAAUCUACAGGAGGUCGUCCCGGACUCUGGGCAGGAAACCGAGCUGGAGCCGUCCAGCUGACUUGGUUCUGACAGAGGAACUUCUCCAGCCUCUUUUCCUGAUGAUUGAAGUACCAGUCCUCCACGACCUCCUCAUACUGCUCCAGCAUCGUCUCACACUGAACACAGGCAA